GACGAACGCUGGCGGCGUGCUUAACACAUGCAAGUCGAACGGAAAGGCCCUGCUUGCAGGGUACUCGAGUGGCGAACGGGUGAGUAACACGUGGGUGAUCUGCCCUGCACUUCGGGAUAAGCCUGGGAAACUGGGUCUAAUACCGGAUAGGAGCCAUUUUUAGUGUGAUGGUUGGAAAGUUUUUUCGGUGUAGGAUGAGCUCGCGGCCUAUCAGCUUGUUGGUGGGGUAAUGGCCUACCAAGGCGGCGACGGGUAGCCGGCCUGAGAGGGUGGACGGCCACAUUGGGACUGAGAUACGGCCCAGACUCCUACGGGAGGCAGCAGUGGGGAAUAUUGCACAAUGGGCGCAAGCCUGAUGCAGCGACGCCGCGUGGGGGAUGACGGCCUUCGGGUUGUAAACUCCUUUCGCUAGGGACGAAGCUUUUUGUGGCGGUACCUAGAUAAGAAACACCGGCUAACUACGU
rnacentral:rRNA from 1 species